rnacentral:rRNA from 1 species
GCCUAACACAUGCAAGUCGAGGGGCAGCGGGGAAAAGCUUGCUUUUCCGCCGGCGACCGGCGCACGGGUGCGCACCGCGUAUGGAACCUGCCUUGUACAGGGGAAUAGCCCAGGGAAACUUGGAUUAAUGCCCCGUAGUACCGUAUUUCGGCAUCGUUAUACGGUUAAAGCCUUCGGGCGGUACAAGAUGGCCAUGCGUCCCAUUAGCUGGAUGGUAAGGUAACGGCUUACCAUGGCUACGAUGGGUAGGGGCCCUGAGAGGGGGAUCCCCCACACUGGUACUGAGACACGGACCAGACUCCUACGGGAGGCAGCAGUGAGGAAUAUUGGACAAUGGAGGAGACUCUGAUCCAGCCAUGCCGCGUGCAGGAAGAAUGCCCUAUGGGUAGUAAACUGCUUUUAUACGGGAAGAAAAAGAGCUACGUGUAGCUUACUGACGGUACCGUAAGAAUAAGGACCGGCUAACUCCGUGCCAGCAGCCGCGGUAAUAC